AGGCCCAUAGCCAAGCGGUAAGGCAUCGGAUUUUGAUUCCGUGACGCGCAGGUUCGAAUCCUGCUGGGCCUGCCA
rnacentral:tRNA from 3 species